AACGAACGCUGGCGGCAGGCCUAACACAUGCAAGUCGAGCGAAGCCUUCGGGCUUAGCGGCGGACGGGUGAGUAACGCGUGGGAACGUGCCCUUUGGUACGGAAUAGCCCCGGGGAACUGGGAGUAAUACCGUAUGUGCCCGAGAGGGGAAAGAUUUAUCGGCAAAGGAUCAGCCCGCGUUGGAUUAGGUAGUUGGUGGGGUAAUGGCCUACCAAGCCGACGAUCCAUAGCUGGUUUGAGAGGAUGAUCAGCCACACUGGGACUGAGACACGGCCCAGACUCCUACGGGAGGCAGCAGGGGGGAAUCUUAGACAAUGGGGGAAACCCUGAUCUAGCCAUGCCGCGUGAGCGAUGAAGGCCUUAGGGUUGUAAAGCUCUUUCAGUGGGGAAGAUAAUGACGGUACCCACAGAAGAAGCCCCGGCUAACUCCGUGCCAGCCGCCGCGGUAAGAC
rnacentral:rRNA from 1 species